rnacentral:rRNA from 1 species
UACAUGGGGUGCAAACGUUGCUCGGAAUUAUUGGGCGUAAAGAGCUUGUAGGCGGUGUGUCGCGUCGGCCGUGAAAACCUGGGGCUUAACUCUGGGCGUGCGGUCGAUACGGGCAUCACUAGAGUUCGGCAGGGGAGACUGGAAUUCCUGGUGUAGCGGUGAAAUGCGCAGAUAUCAGGAGGAACACCGGUGGCGAAGGCGGGUCUCUGGGCCGAUACUGACGCUGAGGAGCGAAAGCAUGGGUAGCGAACAGG